CGUACAACCGCAAUCGGCGUCUGUAUUCGCAACAGACAUACCACAUUGUUUAUUUGUUUGUUAAAUAUUUGCUUCAUAUAAAAUGUCAACGUGUGAAAGAAAUCGUUCUCCGCGUUCGGAUGAGAGUGGAAAUGAUUCCAUGUCUCCCUCGAA
rnacentral:sRNA from 1 species